rnacentral:rRNA from 1 species
UCUUUCAUCAAAGAUUUUAUCGCUGAGAGAUGGGCUCGCGGCCGAUUAGGUAGUUGGUGAGAUAACAGCCCACCAAGCCGACGAUCGGUAGCCGGACUGAGAGGUUGAACGGCCACAUUGGGACUGAGACACGGCCCAGACUCCUACGGGAGGCAGCAGUGGGGGAUAUUGCACAAUGGAGGAAACUCUGAUGCAGCGACGCCGCGUGAGGGAAGACGGUCUUCGGAUUGUAAACCUCUGUCUUUAGGGACGAAAAAAUGACGGUACCUAAGGAGGAAGCCACGGCUAACUACGUGCCAGCAGCCGCGGUAAUACGUAGGUGGCAAGCGUUGUCCGGAAUUACUGGGUGUAAAGGGAGCGUAGGCGGGGAGACAAGUUGAAUGUUUAAACUAUCGGCUCAACUGAUAGUCGCGUUCAAAACUAUCACUCUUGAGUGCAGUAGAGGUAGGCGGAAUUCCUAGUGUAGCGGUGAAAUGCGUAGAUAUUAGGAGGAACACCAGUGGCGAAGGCGGCCUACUGGGCUGUAACUGACGCUGAGGCUCGAAAGCGUGGGUAGCAAACAGGAUUAGAUACCCUGGUAGUCCACGCCGUAAACGAUGAUUACUAGGUGUGGGGGGACUGACCCCUUCCGUGCCGGAGU